UACGGAGGGGGCUAGCGUUGUUCGGAAUUACUGGGCGUAAAGCGCACGUAGGCGGCUUUGUAAGUUAGAGGUGAAAGCCCAGGGCUUAACCCUGGAAUUGCCUUUAAGACUGCAUCGCUAGAAUCGUGGAGAGGUGAGUGGAAUUCCGAGUGUAGAGGUGAAAUUCGUAGAUAUUCGGAAGAACACCAGUGGCGAAGGCGACUCACUGGACACGUAUUGACGCUGAGGUGCGAAAGCGUGGGGAGCAAACAGG
rnacentral:rRNA from 3 species